rnacentral:rRNA from 1 species
GAGUUUGAUCCUGGCUCAGAUUGAACGCUGGCGGCAUGCCUUACACAUGCAAGUCGAACGCGAAAGCGGGGCAACCCGCAAGUAGAGUGGCGAACGGGUGAGUAAUACAUCGGAACAUAUCCAGUAGCGGGGGAUAACCUGUCGAAAGAUAGGCUAAUACCGCAUACGACCUACGGGUGAAAGCGGAGGACCGCAAGGCUUCGCACUAUUGGAGUGGCCGAUGUCGGAUUAGCUAGUUGGUGAGGUAAAAGCUCACCAAGGCGACGAUCCGUAGCUGGUCUGAGAGGACGACCAGCCACACUGGAACUGAGACACGGUCCAGACUCCUACGGGAGGCAGCAGUGGGGAAUUUUGGACAAUGGGCGCAAGCCUGAUCCAGCCAUGCCGCGUGAGUGAAGAAGGCCUUCGGUU